CGGGAAUAUAUUUAUGAGGGUUCCUAUAUGUUUUAUGUGUAUUUUUAUGCAAAGUCAUUGUGACUCAGAAGUUCGUGGGCAUGUUGUCGGAGUUUAUGUGGGCGUGUAUACUGUAUUCCUGAAUUGCAUAAAACUCGGCCAUCUUGCCUGAAUAAAAUGAUUCCUGUUGUACCCUUCAUCUAGUCUGGACUGAUGUUUGGGUAUGUGACUGACG